ACGGCAUCCGCCAUUUUGAAGUGUCGGCUUUGCAUUGGUUUUUCCCAUCUUCGCUGGUGAAUCCGACAAUCAAGAGGAAGACAUCAAAAGAAGGCUUUUGAAUGCUUUGGAAACAAUUUCUCCAAGAAGCAGAUGAAUUUACUGACAAACGUAAUCCCCAAAAGCAGUUGUUAGGGCUGGCAUCCAAACAUUCUUAAGCCAUGGAAACCAAAAGUGGAAUGUUUUGCUUAACACCUACUUUGAACAGAAUUUUACCAAGAGAAUAAAUAUCACUGGCUUCAUUAAUUCUUUGCAGG